UACGGGGGGAGCAAGCGUUGUUCGGAUUCAUUGGGUUUAAAGGGUGCGUAGGCGGCCUGCUAAGUCAGUGGUGAAAUCUUCUCGCUUAACGAGAAAACUGCCAUUGAUACUGGUGGGCUUGAGUACAGAUGCUGUGGGCGGAAUAUGACAUGUAGUGGUGAAAUACAUAGAGAUGUCAUAGAACACCGAUUGCGAAGGCAGCUCACAAAACUGUAACUGACGCUGAGGCACGAAAGUGCGGGGAUCAAACAGG
rnacentral:rRNA from 1 species